AACGCACAUUGCGCCCUCUGGUAUUCCGGGGGGCAUGCCUGUUCGAGCGUCAUUACAACCCUCAAGCUCUGCUUGGUGAUGGGCGACACCUGCGUGCGCCCCAAAAUCAGCGGCGGUGCUGCCCUGGCUUCCUGCGUAGUAACACCAUCUCGCUACGGAGCCGCGGCCGCGCCCGCCGAACACCACUUUAUCAAAGGUUGACCUCGGAUCAGGUAGGGAUACCCGCUGAACUUAA
rnacentral:misc_RNA from 2 species